rnacentral:rRNA from 1 species
UACGGAGGGAGCAAGCGUUACUCGGAAUUAUUGGGCGUAAAGCGCGCGUAGGCGGUUAUUCAAGUCGGAUGUGAAAGCCCUCGGCUUAACUGAGGAAGUGCACCCGAAACUGAGUAGCUAGAGUACCAAAGAGGGUCGCGGAAUUCCCGGUGUAGAGGUGAAAUUCGUAGAUAUCGGGAGGAACACCGGUGGCGAAGGCGGCGACCUGGGUGGAUACUGACGCUGAGGCGCGAAAGCGUGGGGAGCAAACAGG